AUACGGAGGGCGCGAGCGUUAUUCGGAAUCAUUGGGCGUAAAGCGCGUGUAGGCGGCUGGGUAGGUCGGAUGUGAAAGCCCGGGGCUCAACUCCGGAAUUGCAUUCGAAACUGCCCAGCUAGAGUCUCGGAGAGGAGGGCGGAAUUCCCGGUGUAGAGGUGAAAUUCGUAGAUAUCGGGAGGAACACCAGUGGCGAAGGCGGCCCUCUGGACGAUGACUGACGCUGAGACGCGAAAGCGUGGGGAGCAAACAGGAUUAGAAACCACAGUAGUCC
rnacentral:rRNA from 1 species